rnacentral:lncRNA from 1 species
AAUUAGAUGUCUGGCUUACGUAGGAGCUGAUCUGUCGUCAUUGUAGAUUGUCACAUGGCUGGGCUGCGUUAGCUAGCAAGCUUCCUGGAGCCUGCUCCACUGUCUUCAAGCCAUCCUACAAAUGCCAGGGCUUAGCGCUUUUGCUAUUGGAAGCACCCAUCUGCAAGGGCAAAUGUUGGUUGUGAAUAAUUAUUCUCAUCACCAGUAGAGAACGCUGAAGUUGCUGACGCUAGUUCAGGUUCCUUGAAUUCUCCCAAUUUACCUGACAAUCCUCUUAACAUUUCACAGGUGUUUCCAGAGCUACUGUGUCUGCAGAAGUUCCAGAAAGCUCAUGGUGAAGAGUCUGCUUUCACCUGUCAGAUUCAAGCCCAUUAAAUGAUUUGAGGAAAUGAAAAACAAGUGAUCCUUUUAGAGUUGUCAACAACUGGCCUACAGUCUAGCUUGAAGCUUUUGGUAACCCCACCAGCUACAGCUCUGGACAAGCCAAAGAUUGCCAGAAGGAUACAUGUUGCCUUUGAAACUGCAGCCUUUGACCUGGUCUUAGACUUCCACUUCUGAACUGACUAAAACAGUGAGAGCACAUCCUCAGGAUGGUGGGGACCUGGCUUGCUACACUUUUGCUGCAUUUCAGAGCCAGCAAACAGGAGGAGAUGACUGCCACCAUCCUCCUGUACUUCUGUGAGAGAUACUAUUGACCUGCACCUUUCCCUUGGGUCAACAAUUUAAAGACAACUGCUGCUUGAUGGUGCAUGCAAAAGGAAUUAUUAGUCUUGGUUCUGGCCUAAGUGUCUGAAGACUGAGACCUCCGCUGGCCCCACACGGAAGACCAAGGUCUGACAGAAGCACUAGCCAAAGAGAAGUCCCAACAGGUCAAGGGAAGGGGCAUUGCAAACUAAUAAACUCCGUUACUACGAGGAGAACUUUGUUCAACUUCUGACGCCAGAAAGGACAGCCUGGACUGGCAGGUAAAUCUCCCUGCAGAUAGCGGAAAUAGAGGUUAGAGCACCAUAUUUAUCUCUGGCUACUUAGUAAACAGUGAGAUACUGCAAAAAGAGAAUUGGAGAUUUAGCAGCAGGAAGGUGUCAUUGA